rnacentral:misc_RNA from 1 species
AAAUGCGAUAAGUAAUGUGAAUUGCAGAAUUCCGUGAAUCAUCGAAUCUUUGAACGCACAUUGCGCCCUCUGGUAUUCCGGGGGGCAUGCCUGUCCGAGCGUCAUUGCGAACCCCUCAAGCACGGCUUGUGUGAUGGGCCCUCCCGCGUCUUGUCGUCAAGACGGGCCCGAAAUGCAGUGGCGGCUUCGCGGUUAUCCGAUCAGCCAGAGCGUAUGGGGACUCUCUCUCUUGUCACACGCCCGCGGCGCGGACCGACGCCUGUCGACCUUUAUUCAUCUUCUCUCGGUUGACCUCGGAUCAGGUAGGGAUACCCGCUGAACUUAAGC